rnacentral:rRNA from 1 species
UUAAGCGACUAAGCGUACACGGUGGAUGCCCUGGCAGUCAGAGGCGAUGAAGGACGUGCUAAUCUGCGAUAAGCGUCGGUAAGGUGAUAUGAACCGUUAUAACCGGCGAUUUCCGAAUGGGGAAACCCAGUGUGUUUCGACACACUAUCAUUAACUGAAUCCAUAGGUUAAUGAGGCGAACCGGGGGAACUGAAACAUCUAAGUACCCCGAGGAAAAGAAAUCAACCGAGAUUCCCCCAGUAGCGGCGAGCGAACGGGGAGCAGCCCAGAGCCUGAAUCAGUGUGUGUGUUAGUGGAAGCGUCUGGAAAGGCGCGCGAUACAGGGUGACAGCCCCGUACACAAAAAUGCACAUGCUGUGAGCUCGAUGAGUAGGGCGGGACACGUGGUAUCCUGUCUGAAUAUGGGGGGACCAUCCUCCAAGGCUAAAUACUCCUGACUGACCGAUAGUGAACCAGUACCGUGAGGGAAAGGCGAAAAGAACCCCGGCGAGGGGAGUGAAAAAGAACCUGAAACCGUGUACGUACAAGCAGUGGGAGCACGCUUAGGCGUGUGACUGCGUACCUUUUGUAUAAUGGGUCAGCGACUUAUAUUCUGUAGCAAGGUUAACCGAAUAGGGGAGCCGAAGGGAAACCGAGUCUUAACUGGGCGUUAAGUUGCAGGGUAUAGACCCGAAACCCGGUGAUCUAGCCAUGGGCAGGUUGAAGGUUGGGUAACACUAACUGGAGGACCGAACCGACUAAUGUUGAAAAAUUAGCGGAUGACUUGUGGCUGGGGGUGAAAGGCCAAUCAAACCGGGAGAUAGCUGGUUCUCCCCGAAAGCUAUUUAGGUAGCGCCUCGUGAAUUCAUCUCCGGGGGUAGAGCACUGUUUCGGCAAGGGGGUCAUCCCGACUUACCAACCCGAUGCAAACUGCGAAUACCGGAGAAUGUUAUCACGGGAGACACACGGCGGGUGCUAACGUCCGUCGUGAAGAGGGAAACAACCCAGACCGCCAGCUAAGGUCCCAAAGUCAUGGUUAAGUGGGAAACGAUGUGGGAAGGCCCAGACAGCCAGGAUGUUGGCUUAGAAGCAGCCAUCAUUUAAAGAAAGCGUAAUAGCUCACUGGUCGAGUCGGCCUGCGCGGAAGAUGUAACGGGGCUAAACCAUGCACCGAAGCUGCGGCAGCGACGCUUAUGCGUUGUUGGGUAGGGGAGCGUUCUGUAAGCCUGUGAAGGUGUGCUGUGAGGCAUGCUGGAGGUAUCAGAAGUGCGAAUGCUGACAUAAGUAACGAUAAAGCGGGUGAAAAGCCCGCUCGCCGGAAGACCAAGGGUUCCUGUCCAACGUUAAUCGGGGCAGGGUGAGUCGACCCCUAAGGCGAGGCCGAAAGGCGUAGUCGAUGGGAAACAGGUUAAUAUUCCUGUACUUGGUGUUACUGCGAAGGGGGGACGGAGAAGGCUAUGUUGGCCGGGCGACGGUUGUCCCGGUUUAAGCGUGUAGGCUGGUUUUCCAGGCAAAUCCGGAAAAUCAAGGCUGAGGCGUGAUGACGAGGCACUACGGUGCUGAAGCGACAAAUGCCCUGCUUCCAGGAAAAGCCUCUAAGCAUCAGGUAACAUCAAAUCGUACCCCAAACCGACACAGGUGGUCAGGUAGAGAAUACCAAGGCGCUUGAGAGAACUCGGGUGAAGGAACUAGGCAAAAUGGUGCCGUAACUUCGGGAGAAGGCACGCUGAUAUGUAGGUGAAGUCCCUCGCGGAUGGAGCUGAAAUCAGUCGAAGAUACCAGCUGGCUGCAACUGUUUAUUAAAAACACAGCACUGUGCAAACACGAAAGUGGACGUAUACGGUGUGACGCCUGCCCGGUGCCGGAAGGUUAAUUGAUGGGGUCAGCGCAAGCGAAGCUCUUGAUCGAAGCCCCGGUAAACGGCGGCCGUAACUAUAACGGUCCUAAGGUAGCGAAAUUCCUUGUCGGGUAAGUUCCGACCUGCACGAAUGGCGUAAUGAUGGCCAGGCUGUCUCCACCCGAGACUCAGUGAAAUUGAACUCGCUGUGAAGAUGCAGUGUACCCGCGGCAAGACGGAAAGACCCCGUGAACCUUUACUAUAGCUUGACACUGAACAUUGAGCCUUGAUGUGUAGGAUAGGUGGGAGGCUUAGAAGUGUGGACGCCAGUCUGCAUGGAGCCGACCUUGAAAUACCACCCUUUAAUGUUUGAUGUUCUAACGUUGACCCGUAAUCCGGGUUGCGGACAGUGUCUGGUGGGUAGUUUGACUGGGGCGGUCUCCUCCUAAAGAGUAACGGAGGAGCACGAAGGUUGGCUAAUCCUGGUCGGACAUCAGGAGGUUAGUGCAAUGGCAUAAGCCAGCUUGACUGCGAGCGUGACGGCGCGAGCAGGUGCGAAAGCAGGUCAUAGUGAUCCGGUGGUUCUGAAUGGAAGGGCCAUCGCUCAACGGAUAAAAGGUACUCCGGGGAUAACAGGCUGAUACCGCCCAAGAGUUCAUAUCGACGGCGGUGUUUGGCACCUCGAUGUCGGCUCAUCACAUCCUGGGGCUGAAGUAGGUCCCAAGGGUAUGGCUGUUCGCCAUUUAAAGUGGUACGCGAGCUGGGUUUAGAACGUCGUGAGACAGUUCGGUCCCUAUCUGCCGUGGGCGCUGGAGAACUGAGGGGGGCUGCUCCUAGUACGAGAGGACCGGAGUGGACGCAUCACUGGUGUUCGGGUUGUCAUGCCAAUGGCACUGCCCGGUAGCUAAAUGCGGAAGAGAUAAGUGCUGAAAGCAUCUAAGCACGAAACUUGCCCCGAGAUGAGUUCUCCCUGACUCCUUGAGAGUCCUGAAGGAACGUUGAAGACGACGACGUUGAUAGGCCGGGUGUGUAAGCGCAGCGAUGCGUUGAGCUAACCGGUACUAAUGAACCGUGAGGCUUAACCUU